rnacentral:rRNA from 1 species
UACGUAGGGGGGCAAGUGUUGUCCGGAAUCACUGGGCGUAAAGCGCGUGUAGGCGGUGGAGCAAGUCUGCUGUGAAAGCUCAUGGCUCAACUGUGAGAGGUCGGUGGAAACUGCUCGACUAGAGGACGGUAGAGGGGGGUGGAAUUCCCGGUGUAGUGGUGAAAUGCGUAGAGAUCGGGAGGAACACCAGCGGCGAAGGCGGCCCCCUGGGCCGCUCCUGACGCUGAGACGCGAAGGCCAGGGUAGGCGAACGGG